rnacentral:misc_RNA from 1 species
AAUUCUCAACCUUUGCUUACUUUUUUGGUUAGCAAAUGGCUUGGAUGUGGGGGUAUGCAGGUUUCUGUAAUGAAAUUAGCUCCCCUGAAAUACAUUAGCUGGUUGCCUUGUGUGAACCUGUCUAUUGGUGUGAUAAUUAUCUACGCCGUGGACUAUUCGCCGUUUUUAGAACUGCUGAUAACCGUCUGUUCAUUCGGACAAUAUAUGACA